CAGAAGAGGCGGGCCGGUAGCCGGGACCCGGUUCCUGGCACACGGCCUCCAGACAGCGACGCGAGAUGUUUGCACCUGCGGUGACCUGGCCCGCGCCUGCGCAGACGGACGCCUCCCACGCGGCACCGGGAUCACGCCCUUGGUUCGAGGCUGCGCGGGGCGACCUGGUGAGCGUGCAGCACUGCCCCAGGUCCCCAGAGUGGAGUCUGGAAGACCGGCUCUGCCCUCAGGGGGCCCCGGUCUGGAGUCAGAGGAGCGGGGAAGGGGCUAGGGUCUCAGGGUGGGCGUCCUAGGGUGAGGUCCGGAGAGGAGCCAGCCUGGGCUCCACUCUGGGCGUCCUUGGGCGGAGGCGGGCGACUGAGAUAGUUCUGGGGCUGGACGGCCUGGCUCCCCGCGUGCUCCCCCCAGCCGCGUGUAAGCGGCUCCGUCUGCAGAGUCUUUGGACGCUGCCUGGCCGCGAGCACCCUCAGGCGCCAGGUCCCUGUCCUGACGGGGCUCUGGGCCAGCAAUGGCCUGGGGCUGCCCGGCUUGUUGGAGGAUCGUUCCUUGCAGGAGGAGCCCCCUCCCAUCAUCUCUUCCUCGGAAGCCGGAAGCCGGAGGGACUGGCAUCCUUCCUGGCCGACCUCACGCGACCCUCCCCCAGGCCUCUCCCUCUGUGAAAGAUCCGCCCCCACCGCACUCCCAGGGAAUCCCAGCCCCUGAACCCCCCCCGCCCCGCGUUGUCUCCCGGGCGUGUCCACGCAGGUCACCCUGCCCCAUCGCCUGCCAUAGCUCCAGAGCCCCUGCGCCUGCGGGCCUCACGGUGGCUUGUAGUGCGCUGCGUGGCCGGCUUCGUGGUUCGAGGGGCAUCCCCAGGCUCUUUGUAGGCUUCCCUGGAGCUCGCAUCCACCCUGCGGGGUGAACAGGGGCUGCAGGGCCUGGAAGAGGAGAAAACCGGGGGAGAUUGGUGUGGGGAGGGAGUAGUGAGGAAAUGCCUACACGUGUGCUAGGUCUGCUGGGAGGGGCUGCUAGGGACCUGGCUGAAGACAAGAGCAAAGCCUGGAGCAAGGAAGGGGGACACAGAGUCAGCCCCCAAUCCUGUUUGAGCACCAGCUAUGCACCAGGGGCAGACAAACAGCAACAAGCUGAAAAAUAAGCCCAGAAAUGCCACUUGGUGCCCAGUGUGGAUGGAAGGAGCCAGGACGAGCUGCAGGAGGACAAGCAUCCACACGGGGGACGGAGUCCAAAGCCCUGAGGCAGAGUCCUGCGGCGAGGCCAGGCACCCUCCCUGGGGCUUCCAGGAUGGUCCUACCUCCUGGGGCCGGAACUCACUGCCAGCCUCCUCUCCCCCCAGCCUGCCUCGUGGCUCCAGGAGAGUCCUGACCCCGAGGUCUCUAUUGCAGACCACGCCUCUCCAUUCACACUGUAGUAACUGCCUCUAAGGAAACCUCAGGCUUUAUCUUUCUCCAUUUGCAAGAAAAUGGACUGUGGGAAAAACAUCUUGGAAAGGAAACUCCACAUCUGACCUUUACUGCAGACUUUCACUGUGUUUCGUAUUCACUAAAAUGGCAAAGAUACUUCAUCGCACCAUCCCAUGACCCGUUUUUGUUGUUUUUGUCUGUCAUUCAUGGCAUGUGAAGUUCUCAGGCUUAGGGGCCAAAUCGGAGUCACAGCAAUGCCAGAUCCAAGCUGAGUCUUCGACCUACAACCUAGCUCACAGCAACGCCCCAUCCUUAAGCCACUGAGUGAGGCUAGAGAUCGAACCUCAGUCCUCAUAGAUACUAGUUGGGUUCAUAACCUGCUGAGCCACAAUGGGAACUCCCUGAACUUCUUAGAAUACCUUCCAAAAUAACUAGCAGCUUCUAGAAGACACUUAACACUAAACCUCUGCUUGGGAUGCACAUCGAAAUUCUGGACAGGCCCAGCAGAUGCUCGUUUCUGUUGGUUCUAGAUGCUGCAGUCUGAGUUCAGGGUGCCAGCAUGUGGGUUCUCCUGAGGACACAGCCCUGUCCUGCAGAUGCCACCUUCUGGCCCAUGGUGGUUGUGGGAGUCCCAACCCCAUGACCUCGUCCAACCCUAAUUGCCCCCAAAGGCCCGCUUCCAAAGACCAUCACAAGGGGGUAGAGUUUUGGCAUAUUCAUCAGUGGGAGAGUCAAUGCAGUUUAAGCCACCUAGCUGGUGGUGCUUUGUGGCAGGAACCCAGGCAAAGUGAGGUGCCCACAGAUGCUUCGGGGCUGCCUGGAAGGCCGGGAAAUGGCUGCUUCUGCCUUAAUUGGGACUGGCUUCUUUCACCCAAGGUUUUGUCUUGAAUUCCGCUGAGGGGGCAUGUGAGUAUCUGGCCCCCUGUGUGCUGCCGAGUGUCCCUUCUAGGGCAGUGGGCUUGGGUGCUGGUACCAGACUCGGGCUGUUCUGAAAAAUGCUUGGGAAUAUUCCUGUCCAGGUGUUUGGACACCACGUGUGCCCAGGUCCACAUGUCUGCUUAGCAUUUGCUUCAUUUGCUCCUGGCUCAAACAGCCUUCCAAAAGUGCGCAGAGAAAUAAAAGUUGGCACUUCCACGGGCAACGCGGGAGACUUUCAGUUUCACAAGCUCAGCCUUUCCGGUGGGGCGCAGAGGUAUUUGGGUGGCUUCGGCUUUUGCUGCGGCGGCAGCCCAGGAGGGAGCCCAGCAUCCCGGGUCCUUCUGCCGUCUGCAGCUCUUCAAGUGAGGCUACGUCUGGUCCCUUUUCUAUUGACUGUCUCUGUCUUGUUGAUUUGAAACUGUUCUCUAUAUAUUCUGGGGGUGGUUUUUUGUCGGGUACAGGCACUUAUCAGUAUUCUUUGUCACACUCUGUAAAGUCCCCUCGGCCUUGGACUCCCUGACCAGCCAGCCUGAAACUCAGGGCUGCUCCCCGCCAGCCCGGGUCACCCCACUUCACCAGCGGUCAGCCUGGUUCCCUGUGCGCUUCCGUUUGAAGGGGGCUUAUUGAACAGACGUGGCUGACUCAGGAGCCCAGGCCCAGGCAGCAGCACCAUCACUCGGCCUGGACAAAGCUCGCCCAGCACCCAGUCGGCUCCGUCGGGCAUCCCAGGCUCCUGCACUCAGAGCUCCGGGCGGAAGGAGCCCUGGGCUGGGGGCCCUGAAGCAGCAAGUCACCCACUGAGCCCCAAAGGCAAAAAUGUGGCACCAAACAGGUGGAAGAGGACUUGCCCCCGGAUGAGCUGGAGCAGGAAAGCGGGGGACACCAAGGGGACCCCGAGGGUGCAAAGGCAGGCUCUGCGAAUAUCGGGCAGACUGUGUCUGCCCCUUCACACCAGCAGCCCAGCGCCAGCUCAGUGGGGGCUCUUGGAGCGUGGGCUGUAUUUCCCUUCUGGGGAGGGCCUUUAAAUCCUUGAGCUGUGAAGACACCCUUGUCUGAGAAGACGGCUGUCUGCCUUUCCCACGGGCGCCUCCCAGCUGCCAGCCUGUGUGGCAGUGGUCGUGUCCACUCGGCUGAUACAUGACCAGGUAAGGGUGAGACUGGGCCCGCUCAGGUGUGGGGCGGCCUGAAGUGGAUGGGGCUCUCUUUAAGAAACAGUGAACAAUUAUUUCGAUAAAAUUGGGAGCACCUUUAUUCUGAAGGAGAGAAAAACAUCACAACAAAUUAAACAUUAAGACAUUGGCAAAGGAGGAGUUCCCGCUGUGGUACAGUGGGUUAAGGAUCUGGCGUUGCCACAAGUAUGGCAUAGGGCUCAGCUGUGGCUCAGAUUUGAUUUGAUACCUGGCCUGGGAAUUUCCAUAUGCUGUGAGUGCAACCAAAAAAAAAAAAAAAAAAAAAAGACAUGUAAGGAUAAUUUGAUCCACUUGCUGUACAGUGGGAAAAUAAAAUAUAUAUAUAAAAAAAAAUGACACUCACGAAAAAAGGAGUUCCCUUGGGGUGCAGGUGGUUAAGAACUCAGCAUUGUCACUGCUGUGAUGCGGGUUCCGCCCCUGGCCCAAGAAGGUCUGCAUGCUUCAGGUGUGGCCAAAGGAAAAAAAAAGUCAAGGCCAUUAUCACAACGGCAGAGAACCUUGUCAUGUUUCUUCACAUAUGAGCUGGGAGGUUUCAGGGUGGCACAGUUUUCUUGUGCCACAACCAAUCUGAAAUACCCUCCUGAUCUGUCCAAACUUCUUACGUUGUGUCCUCGUCACAUUGGCUGGUAGGCCUGCAUUCUCUUGUUGAUGUCAGCAUUUCCUGCUACAUCAGCGGCUGUUUAACCAUUUUCCAAAAGUCGGGUGACUCACUCCUUCCUCCGGGUUAAUUGCUUCAGGGUUCCUGGAAGCCGUUUUCUGCACCAGCGU
rnacentral:lncRNA from 1 species